rnacentral:rRNA from 1 species
CUUAACACAUGCAAGUCGAACGAUGAACUGGUGCUUGCACUGGGGAUUAGUGGCGAACGGGUGAGUAACACGUGAGUAACCUGCCCUUGACUCUGGGAUAAGCCUGGGAAACUGGGUCUAAUACCGGAUAUGACUCCUCAUCGCAUGGUGGGGGGUGGAAAGCUUUUGUGGUUUUGGAUGGACUCGCGGCCUAUCAGCUUGUUGGUGGGGUAAUGGCCUACCAAGGCGACGACGGGUAGCCGGCCUGAGAGGGUGACCGGCCACACUGGGACUGAGACACGGCCCAGACUCCUACGGGAGGCAGCAGUGGGGAAUAUUGCACAAUGGGCGGAAGCCUGAUGCAGCGACGCCGCGUGAGGGAUGACGGCCUUCGGGUUGUAAACCUCUUUCAGUAGGGAAGAAGCCGUAAGGUGACGGUACCUGCAGAAGAAGCGCCGGCUAACUACGUGCCAGCACCCGCGGUAAUACGUAGGGCGCAAGCGUUAUCCGGAAUUAUUGGGCGUAAAGAGCUCGUAGGCGGUUUGUCGCGUCUGCUGUG